AUGUGGGACUCUAUCCCAGGACACUGGGAUCAUGACCUAAGCGGAAGGCCGACACUUAAACUGACUGAGCCACACAGACAUCUCCAGGACAUUAAAAUAAUUCUUUCUACCACAUAUAUGUGGACAGUGAUGCUCAUACUUAGCAAUGAGGAAUGGGCUUUCAGGAGAGCUCCGCAGUAUCUCAGUGAAUGUGACCUCACUCUUGAGGGCCUAUACAUAGGAAUGCUCACAGAAAAACUCCAUUUCUUAAGGUUGGCUAUUUUAUGGAUAAUGUUUAAGUUAUUUUAUUGAACUGCCAUUCUACGUAUGCUAAAAUUAAUACUUGCACAUUUUAUGUCUGUGGAACUUUAAGGUCCCUAAUAAUUCAUACUCUAUAUCCUGGAGCAGAAGAUCAACGUUCAAAGGAAAGUAUUGGUCCAAUCUAUAGGAAUAUCUACAGUCUUCCUUAUGAAGAUAGUUGUCUAUUCAAGUGAGACCUUCAUAUGAGCGAACAAAAUUUUAAGAGAAUUUCUGACUUGUUAUCUGACUUGGUUUUUAAAGUAUAUUUGCUUUCCUUUAGAGUUAAUUAUGAAUAAUGUGUUGCUAGACAAAAUAAAUACAAGCUGCUUAGUUAAUUGAAGUAAGUUUUGAGUGUAAAUAAAAACAAACUAUAUAUAAUCCCACCUGUAAAACAAGAGGUGGUCCAGAGACGUUUGUUUUAUUUUUUUUAAAGAUUUUAUUUAUUCAUGAGAGACACAGAGAGAGAGGCAGAGAGAUAGGGAGAGGGAGAAGCAGGCUCCCCAUGGGGAGCCCAAUGUGAAACCCAAAACCCAGGACCCCAGAAUCAUGACCUGAGCCAAAGGCAGGCGCUCAACCACUGAGCCACCCAGGUGCCCCCAGAGACUUGUUUUACUGUGAUUUUUCUUUUAUCUUUUAAAGCACCCCGCCCUCUAUUUUUAGUGAUAUUUCAACUUUAGAGACAAAUAGAUUACUGUAAAAUGAGGGGGUCUCAUUCAAUUAAUUAAAAAAAAAUCUCUCUCUAUGUCUCUCAUGAAUAAAUAAAUAAUAAAUAAAUAAAUAAAAAUUAUAGUGUAACUUAUUGUAUUAAUUUUUAAAAAUAUAUGAAUAAAAGAAGAUAUUUAUAAGAAAACAAAACAUAUUUCCAAGAGGCUAUUUGGUUAGUCUACAAUAUUA
rnacentral:lncRNA from 1 species